rnacentral:rRNA from 1 species
UACGUAGGCAGCGAGCGUUGUUCGGAGUUACUGGGCGUAAAGGGUGUGUAGGCGGUCUUUUAAGUUUGGUGUGAAAUCUCCCGGCUUAACCGGGAGGGUGCGCCGAAUACUGGAGGGACUAGAGUGCGGGAGAGGAAAGUGGAAUUCCUGGUGUAGCGGUGAAAUGCGUAGAUAUCAGGAGGAACACCGGUGGUGUAGACGGCUUUCUGGACCGUAACUGACGCUGAGACACGAAAGCGUGGGUAGCAAACAGG